GUAGCAAUACUAGAGACCGGCGCACGGGUGCGUAACGCGUAUGCAAUCUACCUUUUGCAGAGGGAUAGCCCAGAGAAAUUUGGAUUAAUACCUCAUAGUAUAGUACCACUGCAUGGUGGAACUAUUAAAGUCACAACGGCAAAAGAUGAGCAUGCGUCCCAUUAGUUAGUUGGUAAGGUAACGGCUUACCAAGACAACGAUGGGUAGGGGUCCUGAGAGGGAGAUCCCCCACACUGGUACUGAGACACGGACCAGACUCCUACGGGAGGCAGCAGUGAGGAAUAUUGGACAAUGGGCGCAAGCCUGAUCCAGCCAUGCCGCGUGCAGGAUGACGGUCCUAUGGAUUGUAAACUGCUUUUGCACAGGAAGAAACACUCCCUCGUGAGGGAGCUUGACGGUACUGUGAGAAUAAGGAUCGGCUAACUCCGUGCCAGCAGCCGCGGUAAUACGGAGGAUCCAAGCGUUAUCCGGAAUCAUUGGGUUUAAAGGGUCCGUAGGCGGUUUAGUAAGUCAGUGGUGAAAGCCCAUCGCUCAACGGUGGAACGGUCAUUGAUACUGCUAGACUUGAAUUAUAAGGAAGUAACUAGAAUAUGUAGUGUAGCGGUGAAAUGCUUAGAGAUUACAUGGAAUACCAAUUGCGAAGGCAGGUUACUACUUAUGGAUUGACGCUGAUGGACGAAAGCGUGGGUAGCGAACAGGA
rnacentral:rRNA from 1 species